rnacentral:lncRNA from 1 species
AAUGAUAAGGUUGAAUCAGUUGGUCAUGUUCUUCUUUUCUGUUCUUGCUAUCGGGAUCCUCGUAUGGAGCUUUUAUCACCCAUUAUUUGUAAAUCUCCCGGGAGAUCAGAGGAGAUUAUGUGCAGUGGCUACUCUCAGACAAUGCCCCUUAUAUCACCAGACAAGUGGCCAAAUUCUGCGCUGCAGCAAUGAUUGUUCGUAAACAGAUGUUUGGAGAAAGGACUGCAGAAGAAUAAGACCCACAAAAUGGAAUCUGCGAUGACGGAGAGCAAUGUGAUUCAUCCUAAGAAGAAUGAGAAGCCACACAGGAGAACUUGGGAUCAAGAGAUAGCAGGUUUAUUUCAUGGCAGGGAGCUGAAACCAGACAAUUUUACAUAUGCGCCUGUUAAAGAAGAAGGGCCUAGAUUUUACCGAAUUUGGGAUGUUAACCAGAAAACCAUUAUUUUGAUGAACAACAGGCUGAUAGCAUCUCCACGAAGUUCCAAUAAACCAGGUAAUUGAUGAAUUUGUUAAUUCUGUCUCCACUCCUCUCCCUGCCCAUCUGAAAUCUAUCAAUGGAACGCCCAUAGAUUCUAUGGCUGACUAGCAGAGGUCCAAGGUGUGCCUCUUGUACAUGGACUUGAUGACCAUUUCUAUUGCUGCUGCCUUGCUGACUCCCCUAAUUCAGAGGAAAAGAGCUGAACCCUCCAUUUUAUACAGAGCCUCAUGGUGCAGUGGUUAAACUGCGCGUCCAAUAAUCUGCUCACGAUUAGAGAUGGGGACGAAUAGAAAAGAAGUGAUUUGUUAUGAUU